GCGAAAGCAGCCAACUGUAAACGAAAGCCGAGGAGUGAAGUCGGGGGAGGUGCAUCUGUAACAGCCAGAAGUCAGACACUAAUGUGGUUUUACAACAGCCAGGCUCAGAUCAACAUGGCAGUGUUGCCAUUAUUUAUAAAAGUUUUUCUUUACAAUGUUGAAAUGAACAUGUCUCUAACCAUCAUUUCACACACUCACAAAAAAUGUGUGUACAUUUUACAAUCAAUGAGAGACCCUCAAGUAUCACAUUCAUUUGUAUAUAUCCAUCAUAUUAACUGAGGCAAAGUUGGUUAAAGUCAUGUCUUUGGUUGGUAAAAAACCCACCUAAUGAUUGCUUGACGAUAGAGCCUCCCACAAUGCAGGCGGUGGCUGCAGGAUGAAGUUGGUAAAGAGUAACUGCAGGAACUGGCAGCCGACUGCAAAACACUUUUGAUCACGUGAUUUUUGUAAAGCUCAUGCAGUCGACGCAAGUAGAACAAUUUAUAUCCCCAUAACGCAACACACUUUGAAAGGCGGUGACCAAAGAAGGUCGGACAAUUGGGAGUCUAAUCCUGGAAUUGGAAACUUGACAAAAGUGAUCCGCUCGAACGCCCUGUGUUUUUUUGUGAUUUUGGAUGGCCAGAUAGGUAGCAACAAUGGCAGGAAGCUUCCAUGUGGGAAAUCGUUUCAAUUCAUUUUUAUCUUGUUCUUGAUACCCAUGUGUGCCAUCGUGAGAGGCAUUGGGCCACCCACCUCAGCACAAUAGACAGGUGCGCUCACUUCAGUACCAUGGACAGCGGCACUAGGUGCAGCACAAUAGACAGCAGCACUCAGUUCAGCACUGUGGAAGGCUGCACUACCUUUAGCACCAGACCAGCCAAAGAAGCCAUCACAGCUCUGCUCACCCAAACACCUGUGCAGGAUUACUAAUCAGCACACCCGACUGGCCGGUGUUGCCUGGAGUUUGUUUUCUAGGGGAGCCAUCUCCUGCCUCUCCUCCCCCGUCUGAUAGCGGAGUCGCAGGAGCACAGCAAGAGUAUCAUGGCAAUCAAUGAUCGUCGUAUGUCACGAGCCGUGGAAGCCGAAGACAGUGGCCUCCCACAAAGCAGUCUACACUCCCAACGUGAGGCCUAGAGCGGAUGCAAACAACGAAUAGUUUCGCCACACUGUAGCCUGAUCUUCCUGCACCUUUGUUGCUGGGGGUACUUCUGUCUGAGGCCUGCACCAGGAGCCGGGAGCUACGGGCUCAAGUUAUCCUGCUUCUCGCCCAUCCUUAAAGUGUUCUCCGAAUCCUGUGGAGCGUGGGAGUGGGCGGAUUUCCUCAUCUUUCUCACCAGCCGUGAUUUUGGGCAGCUCCAUGGACCUGAGCCCUAGGACCAUGCAUCAGGACUACCUGGCAUGAUGACUCCUUGCUGUCCCCAGUCCACCUGGCCCUGCCGUUGUUCCAGUUUCAACUGUUCUGCCUAUGGAACCCUAAACUGUUCAUUUUUACUCGAGGUGAUGUCCUGUUGCACCCUCUACAACCACUGUGAUCUCCACCCGGCACAGCCAGAAGAGGACUGGCCACCCCUCAUAGCCUGGUUCCUCUCUAGGUUUCUUCCUAGGUUUUUGCCUUUCAUGGGAGUUUUUCUUAGCCACCGUGCUUCUACACCUGCAUUGCUUGCUGUUUGGGGUUUUAGGCUGGGGCUAUAUAAAUUGAUUUGAUAGAGGACUGAGGGUCUUCCAAAUAUUGAAAGUGUGUAAAUAGUUACCCAUGUUAUUUUGUAAAUGUAUAUAUUUUGUUUUUCCCGUAUUUUUUUAAUCAUUCCCCCCCCCCAUUUUUUAUUUAUUUCAAUUUUAUCUCAAUUUCUUUGGGUGGGUGUGUUAGAAUACCAUUUUGGUAUUUUGUAUAUAGUUAUUUGUUUCAAAAUGUAUACCUUCACCAAUUUGGCCACUUGGGUACAUUUGGGCUACUUGUUUGGGACACCUGGGUGGGACUCCAUGAUAAAUGUCAUGUAGCACACUCAUUUAGGAAGUUAUUAUUCUGAAACUUUGCACAAGUACUGUUGCCCUCUUAUAUUUUUCACUGAAAUUGUCCCCAUCAUCCUAUCUGAAUGUUUGUUUUAUCUUGUUCAUUUUAAAGAUGAUAAAAAUAAAUAAAAAACGUAUGGUUUUAUCUAAACCAGA